CUUAAAACAGCUUUCCCAUACACAACCUCCAUCAGUACAUUGAUCUGUUUCCGUAAAUCAAAAUGAAAAUUGUUCUAAUAAUAUUAUGCAUUUGCGCCAUUUUUGUAGCAGUUUUCGGUGCCCCACAGUGUGGAUGUGGAUGCGGAUGUUGUUCUUGCUGCGGUGGGGGAGGUGAUCAAGUGGAACCUGUUGAAGAUGCGGAUUCAUCCCAACUGCAGCGGGGAUUCAACUUCUUUGGAAUAGGAAAAGCCAUUGCCAAAGGGCUGGCUAAGGUCGGAAAAGGAGCUGAGGUGGUCAGCCAUGUGGCCGAUACUGCAAGUGACGUCGCCAAUAUCGUUGACAUUGCGUCUGGCGGAGGCGGAGAUGAGAAUGAAUGCAAAUUUGUUUUGGGAACAUAAUUGAAAAAUCCAACAAAUUAGGUGCACGUUUCUGGCUCGUCAUACAAGUUGUGGCAUGUGAAACAACUUUCGAAACCACUCUGACAUUUGAUGGACAGCUAGCGAAAAGUUUUCGUACCGAGGAUAUUAGCGCGCGUUAUAGUUACUUGCUGUGCAACAAUGUAUAAAUGGACGAAUUGUGACUGCA